GCCUGGCUAGCUCAGUUGGUUAGAGCGGGAUUCUGAUAAUGUGAAGGUUGUAGGUUCGAUCCUUGUAUGGGACA